UACGUAGGUGGCAAGCGUUAUCCGGAUUUACUGGGCGUAAAGGGAGCGUAGGCGGGCUUUUAAGUGAGAUGUGAAAUACUCGGGCUCAACUUGAGUGCUGCAUUUCAAACUGGAAGUCUAGAGUGCAGGAGAGGAGAAUGGAAUUCCUAGUGUAGCGGUGAAAUGCGUAGAGAUUAGGAAGAACACCAGUGGCGAAGGCGAUUCUCUGGACUGUAACUGACGCUGAGGCUCGAAGGCGUGGGGAGCAAACAGG
rnacentral:rRNA from 1 species